ensembl:lncRNA
CGUGCAACUUGCACAGCAAAGAGAGGUUGCAAAGUUUACAGCUUUCCCUACUUCUUCUGCAUCGUUUUUUCCCCGUGUCUGUCCUCUCACUCUCCCUUUCCAAGCUCCUUCCAUCCCGUGUUACCAUGGAGAAUGAAAUGCCAGUCCCAUUCAAGUUGUCGGCUGAAUAGGUUUUGAGGUUGAUGGAUGGUGAGAAUCUCUUAUCCCUCCUUCUCCAAACACCGCCCCUGCCUGGUUCUUGACAUUUCACUUGCCAGAGACUGGCAGUCCGGGAGAGAGGACUGAAAAGGAGGCUGGCAGUGUCCUGCUGCGAUGCUCUUUCAGCUCCUUGGAUGAAAUCAGCAGCUGUGAGAAGGUCUUAAGGACUUCGGUGCAGAGCCUUGUCCUCAAGCUGGCUGAGGCAUGAAUGCUCACUUGAGUGCGUGCUCCUGCUUCCCCAGAGCUCCCAGGGAAAGUAAAUUCAAACGCGACUCUUGCUGCUGCUUGUGGCUCUGAUUUUUGAGGGGUGAUGUGACCUCUGCAACUUAAAGGGAAAGGUUGGUGCUGUUUUCACUCAGUCUGCAUCUGAUAUAACACAGCUCUUCUUAGACUGUGCAUACGCUUGUUGAGAGAAUAAGGAACAGAAGAACUCUGCCAGGAUGUAGGUUAGUUUUCUCUUUUACCAUUCACCAGCAUCACUUCUGAAUUCAGCCUGUGAACUCUUGGGGCAGGUCCAUGCGUUUCAGUAGUCCUCUGUCAAACACCAUGUUCUGGAUUCUGUAUUAAUAUGCCUAUCAAAGAUUUAAGCAAACUGCAAUUUAUCCUCUUCCCAGUUCCAAACUUGAGUAAAUGUUUUCAAAAACAAGGUACCCUUCCUCUCCAAAUGUAGUGAGGGACUUACUUUUGAAAAGCUGGCACAGAUCCCCUAAAUUCUGGAAGAUAAUGGAGGCAUCUAGGCUGAGUCUGUUCCCUGUCCUAACCCUUCCUGCAUGUUAGAGGAAGUUCCAAUAUCUGUUUGCCAGUAUGCUUGAUCCUCCCAGAGCUGCAUGAUCUAUUAGUAGUAUUUUUGUGCUCUGUUUCCACAGCAACCGCACACUUUCCCCUCCCCCCCAAAGGUGGCUGUUGCUUUGAGAAUUAGACCUGUGGAAAAGCUUGGCCUUCCUGUUACUGUGCUGGCAUAGGUCAUGAGAGGGGUGGGGAGAAUGUGACCAUCACUGAAGCUGCUGUGGUUAUGGAGUGACAGGGGAACAAAUGAGUCCUACUUAAUUGUGGGUUCAGUGUUACUAAAAUAAUUGUGUUGAAAAUGUUGGCUCAUUCUGAGCUCCGUGAAUGAAAGUCUUGGAAUUGUGACAUUAGCAGUGAUCAUUUUAGCUCUUUGCACAUACUCUUGUAAUCAUGCAGGACCCAUGUCCUCUUCAUGCAUGUGCUCAUGCACAGUACAAAACCAGAUGUACAUUCUUCUGUGUAGCUGCUCAUAGGCACUUCUUGUGUGCAUGUUACAUUAAGAAGCCUAGUCUUCUGUCAAAGUGUUCAUUGUAGUAUUGUAGGGAAGGGAAUUGCUGUGUUUAAUUGCUCCACUGAAAUAGGAAAUAAACAUUAUGCUACCUCUUUUCUUAUGUUAAUAAAGCAUGACACCUCCUGUGGUAGCAAGACUCUUUCAGACUCAAGUAUACAUGCUAGUCUGAACAUUUUCUGCUGCGUGGAAGACUAACAAGGUUUCAAUUUAUAAAGUAUUUCCAUAGGUCAGUUAUUUGCCCUUUUUUGUUAUUGUUUAAAAGGAGUGAGAACAGAAACAUUAUAUGACUGCAUACCAUACAAGUUGAGUAUAUAAUUAAUAUUGGAUUCUGGAAUUUCCCUUCCUUUAGAAGUGAAUAACUAAAGCAGUAUCUUGUCAUUCUUAGGCUUUUACAGGAAAGGCUUCUGUUUGAUAUACAGUGUGGUGGCUGUCUACCAUUAGUGUUUUGGUUCCUAGUAGUUAGGAUGCCAGUUUUGUUUCCCUCAGAAAGAAUUGUAGGUUGAAGUGUUGAUGACCAAAAUCCAUUUCUAGUGGUUGAGGCCACAUGAUCUGGGGUUAUCAUGGAAAGGCACAAUGUUUAUAGCCAUUUUCACGGUGAUAAGGCCAGAAAUUUACCAAAUCUUAUCCAUUUAAAAUGUAAAAAACUGUUCAGUGUUGAACACGCAUGUCACAAAUGUCACGUAUUUACAAAGACAGAAAUUAAACUAUCAUGUAUUAAUUUCUAGUUAUAAACACAUCUAGGUACACGUUUCUUGUUAAAGAUCUCAUAGUUUGAAAAUGAAGACCAUUUCAGUACUGAACCUUUUAAAAAUGAUGACAAGUCUUGCAUCACUUGAUUUUAGACCUGUUUCUGGUUAUAUAUGGCUCUUUCUGACAGCACACUGAAGAAACCGCACAUUUUACUUUACUUGAGAACUUGUUUAUUAAAAGACCAGGGUAUAAAGUUCCACAACUGUUUAACAUUCAGUAAUUUACCAUUAAGCUGCUUGACACAAGUUAAAAUUUAUGUUAAUAGUGUCUUGAUUAAACGGCACUCAUUAUCACUCACUGAGAUAUGGCCGAAUCAGUUUCCUAACAGAUGUCUCAAUAAAGGAGCCAUCCUACUAUAGCAUGUCCAAAUUAAGUUGAAUGUGUUGCAUUAAUGUUUUUCACUUAUAUAGCAUCUUUCAUUUCAGAGCACUUCACACAACCAUGAUUGAUAUUGGGAAAACAGAUUAGGUUAAUAUUAUGACCAAAGCAAAUGUAUAGGUUUAAAGAGCUACAGGACAUUUUGUAACUUCAACAGUUGUCUUGCAAUACAGUUUUUAAUGCUUGAUACAGUAUAGUUAUGUACUUCCUUCCAUGGAACUCUGUUAAUGUAGCUUGCAGAAGGUCUGAGUUAACCCUCGAAGGGUUGGAACAGGUGCCUCUGGAGAUGCAAAAUAUUUCAAACCUCAGCUUUGAACUAUUUUUAAGUAAUCUUUUCCAGCCAGUCCUACACUCUUCAGGGCUCUUCAUGCCUUUCAUCUUUCAUUUUCUGUUAAAAUUGUUUUAUCAACAUAGGAAAUAGUUGUGAUUUCCCAUCUCUCCCUUAAAUUACUCUUUUGUGCCUACUUGCAACGUCACUUAAAACUCCUGUCAUAUAGACUGUGCCAAAGUAACUGGUGAUUCAAGUACAGAACAUAGCUUUUUCCAUAUGCAGAGUUAGGAUCGCAACGAGGAAUAAAAACAUUCCUCCUUACGUCCUCACCAUUUGCUUUUAUAUAUUUUACAUAUGUAGAAAAAGCUAAUCCCACUCAUAUUGUGCAUAUGCAAAUCUAAAGAUUUUUUUCUGUAUUCAGUUUCUGUGCCUGUAAUGCAUUUUUCCAGCUUCCAUUUUACAGCCUCUACAGCCUUGGAAAUUGUGUUAUAGUUGUAAUAUAGUGCAAAGCAAAUAAAAAAAACUCUAAACAAGUCACUGCCUAAUUUUUUCUGCUAAAGAAUUAGACUAAUCACAUUUUACAUUUACUUAAUGGUUACAUUUAUUGAUCGUAUUUUACAGAUUGUGUAACUGAGAGCAGACCCUGAAGGCAAUUUGCCCAAGAUCCCAGUAUUUCCUGUAAUUCUGGUUGUGUUUUCCUGAUUUGAUUUGGAAUAUCCAAUUAAGAAUGAUAUGUAAUUUCAUAGAUGUGUGAUGUAUCAAGUUUGUGGCUCAUCUGAUAACAUUCAGGCUCACCAUUUCCCUCUGCUGCAUGCACCUGGCUGGAUUUUCUCGUAACUGCAACUCAUUUUAUUGUCAAAUUUUCCCAAACUUAAUCUGAAGUGAGUCAUGUAUUAAGGUCAAUGGCCAUGUCGUAUUACGAGAUGAAUAGUUCAGUUGGAUCUCAGCCAUUCUUGAAAGAGAUGAGUACUUUUUCCAAGUUUUAAAACUAUUUCUUGCAUUUUUGAGCCUUUAUAUAAUUCAAAGACGGGGAGGGAAGGGAAUUUUUUUAUAUGAAGGAUGUAAUAUUUCAUUGCCGAAGGCAAAUGUUAGAGAAGCUGAGGAGCAAUGGGGAGCAGGCCGUGCGGAGGGCAUGGUUUUGUAAUGAUGUCAAUCGCUGUGCAUGUAGUGUGCAGUGCAGGAAGGGCUGUUUGUUUGUCUGUUGGUUUUCAGAGAACUGCUAGUCCUAGGCCCAGCUGGAUACAGCCAUAACAUAGCAGGCAGUAAGCUACGUAUGCGAAUCUCCUUCAUAGCGCUUUGCAAUGAAGGGAGGUUGCUUGUUCCUUUCUCAAAGCCUACAUUCUGCUGUUUGGGCUGUGAGAUGAGUGGAGGAGGGGGACUGUGGCCGUGACAGCUUCUGCCUCCUUUGGCAGUGCUUGUUGGGGUCAGCUGGGUAAGCUGGCAGACUUACCAGGGUCUUCAGAGCGUUCCCCUCCUGACCCCUCUGACUCCUCAGUCCCUGCAGUCUGUCGGUGGCACUGCCCGUGGGGAGCUGCUAGCUGUGAGAGAGCUUUGGGCUUGAUUUACUGCUGGUGCUAUAACGUUUAAUGGAAGUGAAAGAUACGGCAAGUGAGAACUGGUGAGAGAAUCAUAGAAGCCUUUCUGAGGCAUUAAUGGUCCUCCUAGUGGAGUCCUCUUACAUUAUUCAUGCCCUUUGAGCCAAGCUGAGCACUCUUCACUCCUAUAGUAGAAGGUAAAAGGAAAUUAACCCUGUGGUGAUAUAUUGAAAGUUUCUUGUCAAAGUAAUAAUUUUGACAGUGUGUUGAGGGAAUGGAAGCAUAUCUGAAAGGGGAAAAAACUGAUUUCAACUCUGAACUGAUGUAAGAGUGCUCAAGAGUACUCUGCAGAGAAGAAAUACAAAGAGCACUUGAACUUACAUACAAGGUCCUGAGGUCCCUCUGUAGCUUUCCCAUCCUCAUCAAGUAUGUCUUCCAAGUAUCAAAAGGUAUACCUUGUAGCUGCAAGAUGAGCUAGUACUCUAAGCUUUCCAGCUGAUGCUAAGAAAAACUUUGCCAUGGAAGACUUCGGCAUGUUCAGAUUGACUGUAGUAGCCAAGACUUCUCAAUGAUUUGUAGAUCAAGUAUCAGAAAUCUGUCAUUCCAGCCUGGCUGUAGUAGAUGUUGCUGUGUGUAUGACUGUUUCUUUGAACUUGUGUGCUUUUUCUUAGGCAAAGCCAUCAUGUUUAGAGUUCUUGUUUUUUCCUGUUCCCAUCGCAUCUUCUACCUCCUGUUUUUAACUUAUCCCAUUGUUAUGUACAGUUGGACUGUGUGCUCAAGGGAGCUUUUAGGAAGGGCUCAGAAACAGGAGGCUUUUAAUGCAAUGGAUCUAUAUAGGUAAUUGAUCUGGGAUAUUUGUGCUGAGGAGGUUUCCUAUAUCCAGCUUUUACUCUCUGUCCAUUCCUCAGCUCCUCUGAGGUUUGACAGCAAGUAUCCAGAAUGUCAAACAGAUUAUGGCAAACUAGCAGAGAAUGACCUCACUCAGCAGCUAAGAGCAACUUUGGGAAGGGAGCAGAGAAGGUGACUGUAAAUAGUGUUCUUUGCUGGUGCACAAACUUUGAUUUACUGUAUGUACCUUUUGUAGGUAGGACUAAAAUAUGUUACUUCGGAGGCAGGAGAAGAGAACUCACAGUGGAAAAAUCAGUAUCCAUGCCAAGCACUGACUGACUUCUCAGCACAGAACACAGGUGCCCAGUGCAUUCACAGGCUUAUUCCUCCUUUUUCCUUUUCCUCUUACAGAAAAUCACGCUCAGGGAUGAUAUGUUAAAAGUUAUUUGUUAUCUAGAAGCCUAAGCUCUGUGACUUUUAGGUAAAAAAGCAUUCUGCAAAUUUAACUCUGGAAAGUUUGUGUUUUAUGGGCUGGAGGGAGUUGCUUUGUUUGUAUCAAGAAUUUAUUCGUGCCAAGAAUUUGAUGCGUUUGCCACCUGACAUAAAUCUUAAUGAUAAUUUGGUUAAAAGACUGUGCUUGGAAUGAAGAGGCUCAGUGCACAGUGUAUCUCUCUAGACUCUGGCUUUCAGGAGAAAUUAAAGGUGUUCGGGCAACAGUAAUAAAAACAAAAAGAAAAAUGAUGCACAAAACAUGGUGAUUAUUAGUGCUAAAGUGGGUAUCAUAACCUCCUCCUUAAAGGGCUCUUUAAGAUAGAGUGAAAGAAAACAAUAGCUGUGAAGACUUGUGAAGGUUGUUCUUCCAGGACUGUGCUCUUGAUUGUGCAGCCUCAUAGCUGCAUGAAAAAUGAGCUGUUGCUGUUUUACCCAUUCAAGGCUGCUGAGCAUUUCUUUUUGCUGGCAGAUACAGCUGCUGGAUACUGUUGAAAUCCAAAUGUUACUAAUGGAAGCUUUUGGGUGAUGCUGAGAAACUGUAUUGAAAGUUUUGUUUUAUUUUUGAAGUAUGCUAAACAUUUAAUAGUUAAGCAGCUACACUCUUUGGCAUUGUUCAUUUAGGACAUAUCCUUACAACCACUGCUGCCAUAGCAGAUGUUUUUUUUAACAUGGUGUUGUUGCUACAGUGUCAGUCAGUACCUGUGAUCUGUAACAAUUGCAACGAAAAAGAUGCCAGAAGAUCCAAAAAGUCUCUGUGGAAAGGCAUUGGCAGUCUAUGUUUUUCCACUGCCUGCUUGUAGCCUUAUGAGACAGGGCUUUUUGUAGUAUAUCUGCUCUUGGUUAAUUUUGUGAAUGAUCUCUGUAUUGCUUUAUGGGGAACUUCUGUCCUUCUGUAGGUAAUACUUGCAAAUUCCAUAUAUGCUGCCAGUUUAAAGAAAUCCUGGUUACAGCCUCUUUAAAAUGACACAAUGUGGUGCAGUCAGGCAGGAGCUCCGUGCCCGCCCCCAGCACAGUCAGCAGUGGUGGGGUCCCCGUUCACCUCCACAC